rnacentral:tRNA from 1 species
GGUGGGGUGCGGGAGUGGUUUAUCCGGGCGGUCUCGAAAACCGCUAGGCCCGCAAGGGCCUCGUGAGUUCGAAUCUCACCCCCACCGCCA